rnacentral:rRNA from 1 species
UACGUAGGGACCAAGCGUUGUUCGGAUUUACUGGGCGUAAAGCGCGCGUAGGCGGGUCGUUCAGUCAGGGGGGAAAUCCCAGAGCUCAACUCUGGAACUGCCUUUGAUACUGUCGAUCUGGAGUAUGGAAGAGGUGAGUGGAAUUCCGAGUGUAGAGGUGAAAUUCGUAGAUAUUCGGAGGAACACCAGUGGCGAAGGCGGCUCACUGGUCCAUUACUGACGCUGAGGUGCGAAAGCGUGGGGAGCAAACAGG